rnacentral:ribozyme from 13 species
CUUGUCUUACUUUUUUUUUGACUUCUUUUCGUUCUUGUUUCUGUGGUCCUUUCUGCAAUUGUUCAGAACAGGAAGAAGAAGAAGAAAUUGAAGAAAUUGAAGAUGAGGGGGUUUGACAUUCUUUCUGCACACCAUCUUUUCGAAGCAGAUAAAAAUAAGGAACAUAACCAAUUUUCCCACUAAUAUCUCGCGCAAUGAUCCAUUGAUCAUUUACCACUCGUAUACAUUCAAUGAUCUCUCCUUCUACAA